UCUUCAUUUCACAUACUCUCUCACCGGUCAGGGAGGCGAGAAAGUGUGUGAAAUGAAGAGA
rfam:Pristionchus pacificus strain PS312 contig10806, whole genome shotgun sequence.